UACGAAGGGGGCUAGCGUUGUUCGGAAUUGCUGGGCGUAAAGCGCACGUAGGCGGACAUUUAAGUCAGGGGUGAAAUCCCAGAGCUCAACUCUGGAACUGCCUUUGAUACUGGGUGUCUAGAGUAUGGAAGAGGUGAGUGGAAUUCCGAGUGUAGAGGUGAAAUUCGUAGAUAUUCGGAGGAACACCAGUGGCGAAGGCGGCUCACUGGUCCAUUACUGACGCUGAGGUGCGAAAGCGUGGGGAGCAAACAGG
rnacentral:rRNA from 1 species